AGUGGGGAAUUUUGGACAAUGGGCGCAAGCCUGAUCCAGCCAUGCCGCGUGAGUGAAGAAGGCCUUCGGGUUGUAAAGCUCUUUCAGCUGGAAAGAAAUCGUAUCUAUUAAUACUAGGUGCGGAUGACGGUACCAGCAGAAGAAGCACCGGCUAACUACGUGCCAGCAGCCGCGGUAAUACGUAGGGUGCGAGCGUUAAUCGGAAUUACUGGGCGUAAAGCGUGCGCAGGCGGCUUUUUAAGCCAGAUGUGAAAUCCCCGGGCUCAACCUGGGAACUGCAUUUGGAACUGGAAGGCUAGAGUGUAGCAGAGGGGGGUAGAAUUCCACGUGUAGCAGUGAAAUGCGUAGAGAUGUGGAGGAAUACCGAUGGCGAAGGCAGCCCCCUGGGCUAACACUGACGCUCAUGCACGAAAGCGUGGGGAGCAAACAGGAUUAGAUACCCUGGUAGUCCACGCCCUAAACGAUGUCAACUAGGUGUUGGGGAAGGAGACUUCUUUAGUACCGCAGCUAACGCGUG
rnacentral:rRNA from 1 species